AGUACAGAAGCUCACAGGACGACGAGCUUACGGUUGAGAGGUGCUUUUGGUUGGAUUACACGGGCUGGUAAACACCUGGUUCCGGCUUUCGCAGGCGACUGUGCUCGUCUCGGUGUGCGGGGAAAGCGUGCGGCCAUGACCACGGCGGCUGUUCAUAGCAGUCAGCAGGUGCUUCCUCUGCUAUGAUGGUUCUCGAUGUCGGCACUGGAGCGUAACAUCGUGGCAUGAUGGAGGAAAGAACUCUGGAUUAAUGUGCCCAGAGAGACUGAUUUAAGUCAGGCUGACAGCAAUUUAGAUUUAUAAUUAUAGAUGCUUUAGAACUUGACCUGUACUGCCUCUUCAGUUUUAUGUAGCUGGCUGGAGAGAUAUUUUUUGAUGCGAAACAGAAGCUUGUUUAGCUUUUAGCCAAGCCAAUUUGAAUGUUGGAAUAAUCUCAAAUCCCUCCUGGGGCUGACUAAGUGAGCGCCCAAGUCUGAGCCAAGGAGAUUAAGAUCAUAUUAGAUUUUUAAAUGAAGGAAAGAGGAACACCUGUUUGACGGAGCUGCCAAAUCUGGACCACUCUGCUUUCAUUGAUUUUGACGUCUCUUUUGUGCUUAAGACAGUGUCUGUCUCAUUCGUCUUUUUCUUCCACUGUGUGUAAAAAGAGCCAUUCAUUGCUUAUCAUUGUUUUUAAUGUAGGGAUAUAUUUAGCAUUGAAUUUUUUUUUGCUUUAGAAGUAUGACUUUAUUCAUCACAGUCAGCAUUCCCUAAGUUUAAGAAAAAGUCAAGCUAAAGAGUCAAUGUGACAAAACAAGUGUUUUUACCCACUCAGCCAUCCUCUCUGUGCUGCUUUGUGUAAACCUCCAUUCACUGUGAUUACUUUGUCUCCACUUUGAGCCCUUUGAGUCAAAAGGAUUGCACAAGCAAACGUGUACACACACUGUUGAGCAACACUAGGCUCCCUGUUUGGACUGCCUCUGUUUGGCCCUUGUGCUUUUUUUUUUUUUUCCCCUCUCAUUUCCUGUGGAUUUGAAUGAUUUGAGGACGAGGGCCACAGCCUUGGCAAUGCUUUGUAUGUAUUUGACUUAUCACUUUACUUUUGUUUCUGAGCACCAAACUGACCCCUGCCCUUAAGACUGGAGCUCUAUGGAUAUGCAAAGGGAUGGACAAGUCUUGCUGACAAGGCCUGACCUUCUGGCGCACCCUGCAUGCUAACGGAUUUCCACCUUUUUUAUGAUAUUUCUUUCCAAACCAAGUUGUGAAUAGGUAAAACAGUUUUUAUCUUUACGCCUGCCCCUGCUGCAGCAUUGUUUGGCUAAAAGGACAGGAUGAAACUGAAAAAGCAGGUGACUGUGUGCGGCGGGGCCAUCUUCUGUGUGGCUGUCUUUUCUCUUUAUCUGAUGUUGGAUCGUGUCCAGCAUGACCCAUCCCGGAGACAGAAUGGGGGAAACUUCCCAAGGAGCCAGAUUUCGGUGUUGCAGAAUCGCAUUGAGCAGCUGGAGCAGCUUCUGGAGGAGAACCACCAAAUCAUCAGCCACAUUAAAGACUCUGUUCUGGAGCUUACGGACACAGGCGGCAUCUCACCCAGUGGACAACUUCCAUUUCGCAGUGCCAAUGGCUCCUGGGUGCUGCCUUUUGAUGGAAGGCAUACCGUCCUCAAUAUUAAACCCCAAGACUGCCAAUUCGCACUGGGCCGCCAUAGCCAGAGCGACCUGCAGAUGCUGGAUGUGUACUCUCUGCUGAGCUUUGAUAAUGUGGAUGGAGGAGUAUGGAAGCAGGGCUUUGAUAUCACAUAUGAGCCCAAUGAAUGGGACAAUGAACCCCUACAAGUGUUUGUAGUGCCCCACUCUCACAAUGACCCAGGUUGGGUCAAAACAUUUGACAAAUAUUUUUAUGACCAGACACAACAUAUUUUAAACAACAUAGUGGUCAAGCUUUCAGAGGAUCCACGCAGGAAGUUUAUCUGGUCUGAGAUAUCAUACUUUGUCAAAUGGUGGGAGAAUGUUGACAGUAGCAAACAGGAAACCAUGCGCAAAUUGAUUCUGGGAGGGCAGCUGGAGAUAGUGACAGGAGGAUGGGUAAUGACAGAUGAGGCCAAUAGUCACUACUUUGCCAUGAUUGACCAGCUUAUUGAAGGGCAUCAGUGGCUGGAAAAAAACUUAGGUAUAACUCCUCGUUCAGGGUGGGCUAUUGACCCUUUUGGUCACAGUGCCACCAUGCCUUACUUACUGAAGAAAGCCAACCUGACCAGCAUGCUGAUUCAGAGAAUCCAUUACUCUAUUAAGAAGCAUUUUUCCUCUACACAGAAUCUGGAGUUCAUGUGGAGACAGGCUUGGGAUCCUGAGUCAGGCACCGAUCUGUUCUGCCACAUGAUGCCCUUCUACAGCUAUGAUGUGCCUCACACAUGUGGCCCUGACCCAAAGAUCUGCUGUCAGUUUGAUUUUAAGAGGCUGCCAGGCAGCAGAAUCAACUGUCCCUGGAAGGUGCCCCCACGGGCCAUCUCGGAGGAUAAUGUAGCCGAGAGGGUUCAAGCACUUUUGGACCAGUAUCGCAAGAAGUCUAAGCUUUACCGUAGCAAAGUUUUGCUAGUUCCAUUGGGAGAUGAUUUUCGCUAUGAUAAAGCCCUAGAAUGGGACCAACAAUAUUUAAAUUACCAGAAGCUUUUUGAUUACAUGAACUCUCAUCCAGAAUUGCAUGUAAAAGCCCAGUUUGGCACACUAUCAGACUACUUCACUGCUGUAUAUAAGGCUAAUGGAGUGGGUCAUGGGAUGAGACCGCCUGGUUACCCUAUACUGAGUGGAGAUUUCUUUGCUUAUGCUGACCGGGAGGAUCAUUACUGGAGUGGCUACUACACUUCUAGACCAUUCUACAAAAACCUAGACCGUGUAAUCGAAUCUCAUCUUAGGGGUGCAGAGAUUCUCUACAGUUUGGCUGUUGCGCAUGCACGCCAUGCAGGAAUGGAAGGGCGCUACCCCAUCUCGGAUUACUCCCUCUUGACUGAUGCUAGGCGAAGCGUUGCUCUCUUCCAGCAUCAUGAUGCAAUCACUGGUACUGCAAAGGAGGUUGUUGUCAUUGACUAUGGCGCCAGGUUACUGCGUUCACUUAUUGGCUUAAAAAGAGUGAUCAUUAAUGCAGCACAUUUCCUCAUAAUGAAAAAUAAAGAUGUGUAUCGCUUCUACCAGACUGAGCCCUUCCUGGAAACGGAUGACAGACGUGCAACACAGGACUCUUUACCCCAGCGUACUCUGAUUGAAUUGGACUCUUCUCCCAGGUACCUUGUGCUGUUUAACCCUGUGGAGCAGGAGCGACUGUGUUUGGUCACUGUACUGGUGAACUCAGCACGGGUCAGAGUACGCACUGAGGAUGGUCAGACCCUACCAGUCCAGCUCAGUGCACAGUGGAGCUCAGCUGUGCAGAUGGAUGGAGAAGUCUACCAGGCUUCCUUUAUGGUCCGUCUCCCUGCUAUGGGAUUGGCUGUGUUCCAUAUUCACGACUCCAUCGACAAUCCUAUGACUUUACGCUCUGAAACACUACUGAGACUUCCGGGGAAGAGUCAGAGUGUGCACAGUUUGGAUCCCCUUCCUAUACGCUCUCAGGUGGCUGACUCGCAGCCCUUCUACAUACAGACCCGAUCUCUCACGUUGGGCUUCUCUGGCACCUCAGGCCUGUUGGAGAGUAUCCGCCGUAAGGACGACCCUCAGGAGGUGAGGGUGCAAAUCCAAUUCCUCACAUAUGGAACCCGGGCUUCCAAGGACAAGAGCGGAGCAUACCUCUUUUUGCCAGAUGGUAUUGCCACGCCAUACAUACAGAAAGAGCCUCCAACUGUGCGUGUUGUAGAGGGUCCUCUCUUUUCCGAGGUGGUCACAUACUACCAGCACUUUCAGCAAACGAUCCGCAUACACAACGUGCCGGGUAUAGAUGGUUUAUCUCUGGACAUCACCACCUUGGUGGACAUCAGGGACCAGAAUAAUAAAGAAUUGGCAAUGCGUUUGGUCACGGACAUCCAGAGUGAGGACAAAUUCUACACAGACCUUAAUGGCUUCCAGAUCCAGCCUCGGAGGUAUUUCCAGAAGAUACCAUUGCAGGCCAACUUCUACCCCAUGCCAACUAUGGCCUACAUCCAGGACAGCCAGUACCGUCUGACCCUGCACACAGCCCAGGCCCUGGGAGUCAGCAGCCUUGCCAGUGGUCAGUUGGAGGUGAUUUUGGACCGGAGAUUGAUGCAGGAUGAUAACAGGGGUCUGGGACAAGGUCUGAAGGAUAACAAGAGGACAGCUAACCGCUUCCGGCUCCUGUUGGAGAGGAGAUCCAGCGGCAGCAGACCUGUGGGCUCUUAUGCAAAAAUCAGCCACAUGAUAAGUAAAAUCAUCGCUCAUGUUUUAGGAGACAGCAGGAAAGAGACUGUUGACAGUGGACCGGUCAGCUUUCCCUCUUUGCUGAGUCACAUGACUUCUGCCAUUUUGAACCACGAGGUGCUGGCACUGCCUGUCAUUCCAAAGAAACGUGGCGUUCCCCCUCUUCGCACCUUUUCCCCACUGGCCACAUCAAUGCCCUGCGACUUUCAUCUGCUCAACCUCAGGAGCAUCCAAAACUGGAUUCCAAUGAUCCAUCUCCACACACUGCUCUCCUGCUGCAUCGGCUGGGUCUAGAUUGUGGACUCGAGCUCCAGAACCCUGGAUUCAACUGCACCACCACACAGGGCAAGCUGGCCGUGUCGGGGUUGUUCCGGGGUCUGGACCUGCAGUUGUUGCAGCCCAUGUCGCUGACGCUGAUGUACUCGGAGACUCCACUAUCCAACAACUCUGUUAUCACCCUGCAGCCAAUGGAGCUUUCUGCCUUUAAGCUCAAACUGCACUAGGCCUUACGACACCAGAACAGCCUGCACACUGCGGCUAGUGCAGAGAGACGGCACAUGCCCACAGUCUCUCUUUCUGUCUCUCUCUCUGUCUCUCUCUCUUGUUCUUUGACUCGGGGAUGAGGAUUAUGAACAUGCUAUAUACCAACAUGGAUGCUGAUGUCCUUCCAAAAUACUUUUAUAAAGGGAGAUUGCAGCUGAGAUUGUUCCUGUAGCUGUCCAAGAACUGAGAGACUGGACAAUAUAAAGAUUAAUUUUUUUUAAUUUUGCUUAAAUUCUAAUCAACAGAAUGACUAGUGAUCGAAUGCUUUUUGUUAGAUCUGGAUGCUUGAUCAUUAUCAUUUGAGACUUUUUUUUUUUGUCAUUCUGGCUGGAACCACUGACAUAUUUCUGUCUUUGUCUCUUGCGAUUUUAAGUAACUUCUUGGGCAGUGUAGCCAAUUGUAUGUGAUUGUCUUUGGUUCUUCAUGAACUAGUGGGAAUGAGUGCAAUAUGUGGCGCUUCUCUAGGGGUGGUGGGUUUCUUUUUGUUUUUGAUAUUAGUUUCUGCACACAAGCUGUGCUUGAAACUUUGUCACUGACCCCGUUUUGUAAUUCUGUUGAUUGUGCUGCCUGCCGUAGCCGCAUGUUUCUGUGAAUGUCUGCUCGCUUGCCCUGGCAGCUUCACACACAGCUUUCUCUCCCUCAUCUGCAAGUCAGUGGCCUGAUUUGAGUUAUUUUUCUUUCAUUAGUGUAGCGACUGAUGACGACAACUUGUCUAUUGUUGAAGGUUUUGUUUGUUCCUGAAAAUGCUGCUCCCUCCAAAUUACCUUGCUGUUAUGUACCAUUAAUUUUUUUUUUCCCCCUGGGCCCAAAGUGUUGAUGUCUGCUAGGGAUGGUGUAGUGUACUAUAAAAUAUGCAGUAUACAAUACCUCUUAUAUUUUACAUAUGGACAUUGAGAUGUGCAAUAUGUUACUGUGGUGACUGAUUGAUUGUGGCCCAAUGGCUAGGUAACGAGGCAAGAUCAAGAGAUUAUGAUAAUGUUUACCAUCAUGCAGGAGUGAGCCGGUGAUGUUCAUGAUCUCUUCCAGAUCAGUAUUUUAACUGAUCUAAGCUUAGCCUAAAGCCUUUAACCCAUAUUGCCCUGUGAUCAGAGAUUAGUGAUGCUAACAGUAAUGGCUGUAUGCUGAGGGAAAGCCAGGGCACAAUCAUGUAUUGUAAAGUUCCAUUCCAGUGGUGUUUGUUCCUGGUGUCUCUUUUGUCCUAAUACAGUCAUCCAUUUGAGUCUGUUUAUCAUUCAGUGGGACUGUAUCUCAACUGCCAGGAGGAAGGAGUCUGUACAACUGAAGCGGUUUCCUGUUUUAGUUUCCCUACUCCUCAUCAUGUCGUUCCUACUGUGUUUCCUGAAAUGGCUCUCCCUCAUAGAGACUCACACUUUUGAUUUACUGUGAGAAAUGAAUGCUCUGAACUAAACGUUGCUAGUGGAGAAGAGGUUAGUAGCACUCAUGAAACCUCUGAGCCGAGUCGUCACUUUUGCCUUUAUCUACACAAAAUAAAUGGAUGCUUCUGACUGGGCCAGCUAGUCCAAAAGAAGCAAGGAGAGGCUGGUGAUAUUUAUAACAGGAGUAUCGAUUUGUGAAGCGCUUCAGCUCUUCUUUAUUCUUGUCUAAAAAUCCUGUUUAGAAAUUGACAGACUAUAAGAGAACAUUAAAUGCAUAAGUAUAUAGAAUAAAUUUUUCCUCGAAUAUUGCUGUGUAAGAGCAGUGGUACUUUGGAGCUCAUUUUAAAAUGUACUUCUAUUGAGUGUGUAAAAUUUUAUAUAUAUAAUUUAUAUAUAAUAAUUUGCAUUUACUACUCAUAUCACUGCCACACUGCACAUCUAUACCUUCUCGCCAAUACGUUCUUAUUUCUCCUACAGAUUGUCUCCUUCUCAUUUGUGCAGUAUGAUGUGAAAAGAAAAAAAAGAAUUUUUUUUUUUUAUAUUUUGUUUCCCCCCUUUGUGUCUAUUCCUUUCUGGAAGGAUGUUAAUGUGAAAUGAUUAAAUGACAAUGCAAAGUAAAGGAAAACAAAAAAAAGAAAAAAAUGGUAAGUAGCUAAAGUUGAUAUUUAAUAAACAUCAGCCAUGGCAUUAUGUAA